rnacentral:rRNA from 1 species
UGUGCGAAGAAGGCCUUCGGGUUGUAAAGCACUUUUGUCAGGGAAGAAAUCCUUUGGGCUAAUACCCUAGGGGGAUGACGGUACCUGAAGAAUAAGCACCGGCUAACUACGUGCCAGCAGCCGCGGUAAUACGUAGGGUGCAAGCGUUAAUCGGAAUUACUGGGCGUAAAUCGUGCGCAGGCGGUUGUGUAAGACAGGUGUGAAAUCUCCGGGCUUAACCUGGGAAUUGCAUUUGUGACUGCACGACUAGAGUGUGUCAGAGGGGGGUGGAAUUCCUCGUGUAGCAGUGAAAUGCGUAGAUAUGUGGAGGAACACCAAUGGCGAAGGCAGCCCCCUGGGAUAACACUGACGCUCAUGCACGAAAGCGUGGGGAGCAAACAGGAUUAGAUACCCUGGUAGUCCACGCCCUAAACGA